rnacentral:rRNA from 1 species
ACGGUCCUAAGGUAGCGAAAUUCCUUGUCAGGUAAGUUCUGACCCGCACGAAAGGCGUAAUGAUUUGGGCACUGUCUCAACAGCCCGCCCGGCGAAAUUGUAGUACCGGUGAAGAUGCCGGUUACCCGCGACAAGACGGAAAGACCCCAUGGAGCUUUACUGUAGCCUAAUAUUGGGUUUCGAUGUUGCAUGCACAGGAUAGAUGGGACACUGGGAAACAGGAGCUUUGGCUUCUGCGGAGUGGCCGUUGGGAUACCAUCCUUGCGAUAUUGGAAUUCUAACCUGCGGCUCUGAAUCGAGUCGGGGGACAUUGUUAGGUGGGCAGUUUGACUGGGGCGGUCGCCUCCUAAAAAGUAACGGAGGCGUUCAAAGGUUCGCUCAGCUUGAACGGAAAUCAAGCAAAAGAGUGCAAACGCAGAAGCGAGCCUAACUGCGAGACUGACGGGUCGAGCAGUAACGAAAGUUGGAGUUAGUGAUCCGGUGGUAUGUGAGUGGAAAUGCCAUCGCUCAACGGAUAAAAGCUACCCUGGGGAUAACAGGCUGAUCUCCCCCAAGCGUCCACAGCGACGGGGAGGUUUGGCACCUCGAUGUCGGCUCGUCACAUCCUGGGGCUGAAUUCGGUCCCAAGGGUUCGGCUGUUCGCCGAUUAAAGUGGCACGCGAGCUGGGUUCAGAACGUCGUGAGACAGUUCGGUCCCUAUCUGUUGCGGGCGUAAGAGAUUUGAAGGGAGCUGUCCUUAGUACGAGAGGACCGGGAUGGACGUACCUCUGGUGCACCAGUUGUCCUGCCAAGGGCAUAGCUGGGUAGCUAUGUACGGACGAGAUAAACGCUGAAAGCAUCUAAGCGUGAAACUCCCCCUAAGAUGAGAUCUCUCAUCCUUUAUGGAGUAAGGGCCCAGAAAGACGAUCUGGUUGAUAGGCCGGAGGUGGAAGCACGGUAACGUGUGUAGCUGACCGGUACUAAUAGCCCGAGGGCUUGACCUA